GCGCACCCGCGGGGAGGGCGGCGAGCGGGGAUCAGCCGAAGUCGGGAGAGGGGCGCUUCCACGGGGCGGGAAACUGGCGCGCGACUCUGGGGGAAGUGCAGGAUGGGGGGACAGGGGCGCUCCCGCGGGGGUGGAUGGGGGACCAUAGCGGGGCUGGCGGGGCAGGGGCCGGCGCACGAGGCUGGAGGAGGGGAGCGCGCGCUUCUACCCGGGCUGGGUCGCCGAGUCCACAGCCUCGAAGCCAUGGGUUCUCCCCGGCCCUCUGAAGCCGCCACACCUGUGCCAGCCGGCCGCGUCCUCAGACCUUUCCCCGCGGAGUCUUCCCAGCACUUGGAGACGCAGCGCAGGGCCCCGAGGACGGCCUGGCCCGGAGAAAAGAUACCGAAGCUCCAACUUUCCCCAACCCCGCUCCCCUCCUCCUUCCACCCUCCCUUCCCGCCCCCAAAGCUCGGGGGUCCUAUCCCUCCUCCGGUCCGCGGAGUCUCCCGAACCCUGCGGGGACCCGGCGCUCGGCGGUGCCCUCCUGGGGCGCACGGGGCUGGGGCGGGAGCGAGGAGACCAGGUGGGGAGGGGACCCCAGAUCUCAGACGCCAGGGGAGACGGCGUUUCCCGCUGUUCAUUCAGGUUUGUGCCAAAAGGAGCCUCACAGAUGCAGUAUUGGGUUUGGUAGACUCAAAUCGUCUUGUUUUAAUGUAAAUGAAAGUAAGUUUAGGAUAAAUUCCAGUGCGGCGGGGGCAGGCAAGGCUACCCACAUUUUUUAAAAAGAAGCCAGCCCGUAUUUUUCUCCCUUUCCAAAUCCUCCGCCCCCCAGUCCUUCGACCCAGGCACGAGCGCCCAUCGCGGAGGCCACGAUGCCCGUUUUAUUCCCUCUCCACGGCAAGGAAAAGCAGCGAAAUCUGAGGUCUUCAGAGGUUAACCCUAUCUAGGAGCAGAAUGUGACGCAUUGUAAACAAAUAAAUAUUGAAAACUCGAUGUUAAACACUUUA
rnacentral:lncRNA from 1 species